rnacentral:rRNA from 1 species
UACGUAGGGUGCAAGCGUUGUCCGGAAUUAUUGGGCGUAAAGAGCUCGUAGGCGGUUUGUCGCGUCUGCUGUGAAAACUCGGGGCUUAACUCCGGGCCUGCAGUGGGUACGGGCAGACUAGAGUGCGGUAGGGGAGACUGGAAUUCCUGGUGUAGCGGUGAAAUGCGCAGAUAUCAGGAGGAACACCGGUGGCGAAGGCGGGUCUCUGGGCCGUAACUGACGCUGAGGAACGAAAGCGUGGGUAGCAAACAGG